AAUGAACGUUGGCGGCGUGGAUUAGGCAUGCAAGUCGUGCGGAAAGGCCCCGCAAGGGGUACUCGAGCGGCGAAAGGGAUAGUAACACGUAGGUACCCACCCUUGGGACGCGGAUAGCCGGGGGAAACUCCGAUUAAUACGCGAUGACGUCUUCGGACCAAAGGUGUGAUUCCGCCUGAGGACGGGCCUGCGUCUUAUCAGCUUGUUGGUGAGGUAACGGCUCACCAAGGCAACGACGAGUAGCGGGUGUGAGAGCACGACCCGCAUCACUGGGACUGAGAUACUGCCCAGACACCUACGGGUGGCUGCAGUCGAGAAUCUUCGGCAAUGGGCGAAAGCCUGACCGAGCGACGCCGCGUGCGGGAUGAAGGCCCUCGGGUUGUAAACCGCUGUCAGUGGGGAGGAAGUCUAGUGGGGAUCACCCCAUUAGUUGACCUAUCCGCAGAGGAAGGACGGGCUAAGUUCGUGCCAGCAGCCGCGGUAAUACGAACCGUCCUAACGUUAUUCGGAAUCACUGGGCUUAAAGGGUGCGUAGGCGGCUCAGAAAGUUGGGUGUGAAAUCCCUCGGCUUAACCGAGGAAUUGCGCUCAAAACUACUGAGCUUGAGGGAGACAGAGGUGAGCGGAACUUAGGGUGGAGCGGUGAAAUGCGUUGAUAUCCUAAGGAACACCGGUGGCGAAAGCGGCUCACUGGGUCUUUUCUGACGCUGAGGCACGAAAGCCAGGGGAGCGAAGAGGAUUAGAUACCCUCGUAGUCCUGGCCGUAAACGAUGAGCACUAGGUCGAAGAUCUCUCCAUAGGUUUUUGGCCGUAGCGAAAGUGUUAAGUGCUCCGCCUGGGGAGUAUGGUCGCAAGGCUGA
rnacentral:rRNA from 1 species